AGUGGUCAUUUUGUAAAGAGACUGCUGAAAAAUCUGAAGAGUGCUGCUGCAGAGCUCUGAAUGGGGGGAUAGCAACUGUCUUAACUGAUCUGGAAUCUUGAGUUUACUUUUCAGUGGACAGGAGGAGAGUCUCUCAAGGCAAAGAGAGAGAGAAAUAACACCCGAUACUCAUGUCAACAUAACUUUAUGCUCAGAGUGUAGGUGUAGGAACAGCAUCGGUAUGUAUAUGGAACAUCGGGAGAGGAAACUAUAUCGGCAUUUACAUGGAACAUGGGGAGA